rnacentral:rRNA from 1 species
GCGGAGGAAAAGAAACUAACAAGGAUUCCCCUAGUAACUGCGAGUGAAGCGGGAAAAGCUCAAAUUUAAAAUCUGGCGGUCUUUGCCCGUCCGAGUUGUAAUUUAGAGAAGCGUCUUCCGCGCCAGACCGUGCACAAGUCUCCUGGAAUGGAGCGUCAUAGAGGGUGAGAAUCCCGUCUUUGGCAUGGAUCCCUGGUGCUUCUGUGAUGCGCUCUCGAAGAGUCGAGUUGUUUGGGAAUGCAGCUCAAAAUGGGUGGUGAACUCCAUCUAAAGCUAAAUAUUGGCGAGAGACCGAUAGCGAACAAGUACCGUGAGGGAAAGAUGAAAAGCACUUUGGAAAGAGAGUGAAACAGUACGUGAAAUUGUUGAAAGGGAAACGCUUGAAGUCAGUCGCGUCGACCGAGACUCAGCCUUGCCUCGGCUUGGUGUACUUCUCGGCCUGACGGGUCAGCAUCAAUUUUGUCCCUCGGAUAAUGGCAAGGGAAAGGUGGCACCUUCACGGGUGUGUUAUAGUCUCCUGUCGCAUGCGAGGGGUGGGAUUGAGGAACUCAGCGUGCACCUUGGUGUCGGGGCUUCGGCCCACGUCACACGCUUAGGAUGCUGGCGUAAUGGCUUUAAACGACCCGUCUUGAAACACGGACCAAGGAGUCCAACAUGCACGCGAGUGUUCGGGUGGAAAACCCGUGCGCGUAAUGAAAGUGAAAGUUGGGACCUCUGUCGUGGAGGGCACCGACGCCCGGACCAGACCUUCUGUGACGGAUCUGCGGUAGAGCGUGUGUGUUGGGACCCGAAAGAUGGUGAACUAUGCCUGAAUAGGGUGAAGCCAGAGGAAACUCUGGUGGAGGCUCGUAGCGAUUCUGACGUGCAAAUCGAUCGUCAAAUUUGGGUAUAGGGGCGAAAGACUAAUCGAACCAUCUAGUAGCUGGU